ACUCCUACGGGAGGCAGCAGUGGGGAAUAUUGCACAAUGGGGGAAACCCUGAUGCAGCCAUGCCGCGUGUGUGAAGAAGGCCUUCGGUUGUAAGCACUUUCAGUAGGGAGGAAGGUAGUGUAGUUAACACCUGCACUAUUUGACGUUACCUACAGAAGAAGCACCGGCUAACUCCGUGCCAGCAGCCGCGGUAAUACGGAGGGUGCGAGCGUUAAUCGGAAUUACUGGGCGUAAAGCGCAUGCAGGUGGUUUGUUAAGUCUAGAUGUGAAAGCCCGGGGCUCGAACCUCGGAAUUGCAUUUUGAAACUGGCAAACUAGAGUACUGUAGAGGGGGUAGAA
rnacentral:rRNA from 1 species